ACUGUUUCCAUACAAACUGAGAAAUUAUUUGUUCUAGUUGUGUGAAAAAUACCUUUGGUAGUUUGAUUGGGAUUGUGAUGAAUCUACAGAUUGCUUUGGGUAGUAGAGUCAUUUUCACUGUACUGAUUCUUCCAAUGCAAGAACAUGGUACGCUUCUCCAUCUCUUUGUGUCAUCUUUGAUUUCUUUUGUCAGUUUCUUUUUUAUAGUUUUCUGUAUACAGGUCUCUUGUUUCUUUUCGUACAAUUAUUCCUAAGUAUUUUAUUCUUUUCAUUGCAAUGGUAAAUGGAUAGUUUCCUUAAUUACUCUUUCUGAUUUUUUGUUAUUAGUUUAUAGGAAUGCAAUGGAUUUCUGUGCAUUCACUUUUUAUGGCAGGCACACUGUUUUUAAUUUUUUAAAUUUACUUAUAUUAGUUGGAGACUACUUAACAAUAUUGCAGGCACAUUCUUAACCACUUGACCACCAGGGAAUUCCUGGCCUGCUUGUCCUUGGGUGUGCAGCUCUCUGGGCUCUGACACAUGGAGAGUUUCCAGUCAGCUGGAGAGUGGUAAACAAAGUAUGCUGUAUGUAGCCAUACAGUGGAAUAGCAUAGAUGGAUGAAAAGUGAUGAACUUCUGCUUUCUGCUGCCACAUGGGUGAGCCUCCAAAGCAUUACGCUAAGUGAAACAUCCCAGACACAAAAGGCCACUUCCUGCGGGAGUCCGUUGAUAUGAAAUGCCCAGAAAGGGCAAAUCUACAGAGAGGAAAAUCAGACGAGAGGAUGCCUGGGCCUGCAGGUCCUGUUGGGGAUCCACUGCUGACGGGUACGCGGAAACUUUAGUGGCGCUGGCGGUGUUCCACACCUGCACUGUGGUGGGGGUUGCACCACUGUGUGAAGGUGCUAAAAGUCACUGCCCUGGAAGUGAUGGGUGUGAUUUGUGGUAUGUAAUUAUACCUCAGUAAAGCAGUUUAGGAAGGUAAUGCAGAUGUCCAAGUGAGACAUGUGGGGAAAGACAUGCCAUUGCUUUGUAACAACGAGGAGUGCCCCUGCUCCUUCCACGUUCUGGGUCCAGCCUCCUCCACGAGUGCUAGAUGCUCCCUCCAGAAACAGUCGUUGUGCACGUCAGGACAGAAUCCCCAGGGAGCACACACAACUACUGUGUCUCUGUGUUGACUCAAGGGGCCGGCUGUGUGACCACAAGUCAAUGGCUCUGGACAGGCUCCCAAAACCCACCCUGCAUCUGAAAUUCCACUUCGUUGUUUUCCCAUUCUUCUCAAAUCACGUGGACCCAGCUUCCGUUUCCCUGGUAACGGAUCUCAGCCCUUAGCUCCAACCUCUGGUCACAGGAAUACCUGUUGCCUGGUGUGAGGCCCCCUGCCUGAGCUCAGCAACCCAGGAGGGAUGCUCAGCAGAGCAGUAACCAAGACAACGGAACUUGAUCCAUCCUCCUUCUGCCACCAGGACUGAGGGGCAUUCCCUCCCCUCCAUCUGCCUGAUUGUCUGGGUAUGCUAUUUUCUGUUCUCUAAACCAAAGAGACCAGGAUGCCAGUUCCAAAAGAAUCAUCAGGACUGUUGACUAGAAGACAGAAUGGAGAAUUGGAAUGAUCUUCACAGGUGAUGCAGAGCCCUCCCUUGGAUUUCACUUGCAGCAAAGCAGGCACCAAGAUCAGCUCCAGAAAACGAAAUUCCUAAACGACAGCCACCCAUCUGCCCAAAGACAACAUUGGGUCAUUGCGCAGUGUGCCCCCUAGCUUCCUUAUCCAUUCAUCUGCUGAUGGGCAUCUAGGUUGCUUCCAUGUCCUGGCUA